GGGGACAAGUUAAGGAAC
rnacentral:piRNA from 1 species